CGGGGCGUGGCGCAGCUUGGCAGCGCGCCUGCUUUGGGAGCAGGAGGUCAGAGGUUCGAAUCCUCUCGCCCCGACCA
rnacentral:tRNA from 2 species